GCCGGCGUCGACCAGUGGAAGGUCAUCCUCGAAAUGUGUUUUGCGUGUAGGCAUCCGAGGAAGACGGGGGUUCGAUUCCCCUCGACGGCG